UUCCUCACUUAUCCCAUAGAACAAUACAGUACUCAACCUCACCACAUAAACCCUAAAUUCCUCGUCAACACAUGCUCACUAGAAUUUUCCUUGCAAAUUAAUUUCUCGAGUGCCUCGCCUGGCCAGGGCGCUAGGUUGAAGAUUCAGAAAAUGGCAACCACUUGGUCAUAGGCGUUCACUACUUAUUUACCACGGUCUAAUAAGCUACUAGGAGGGGUUUGUAGAAGCUUCUAUGUC
rnacentral:misc_RNA from 1 species